rnacentral:lncRNA from 1 species
CAGAGUAACCAUGCAGGCUAUGCUUCUGUCAGUGGCAACCAGCGACCAAAACAUGUCGAUUGUUUUAUUUGUCGCUCAUGCUAUUCUCAUGUAUUCUCAAUAGCGAUAUUAUUCUAAAUAAAUCUCUCUUUAACCCAUAGAGAUAUAUGCAGUACCAUUUUUAGAAUAAUCAUCCAUCGCUUCAGACGGAUCAAUCAUCCAUCGCUCCGGCUAGAUGACAUCCGUCUCUUCAACCUCAUGUGUCAUCCAUCGCUUUGGCUGGAUGAUACACGCUGCUCAGACCUAGCUUACGACCCGCGAAUCUAAGCGAUGGUUACAAAAUCCAAUUUACAUCCAAAGUGACUAAAAUUGCGAUACCCUCGUUUUCAAUCUAUUUUGUCGCUAUGGCCUUAAUAGACCAAGGAUCAUUUUGUCGCCUUGGCUUCAAUAAUCCUAUCCCAUCUUGUCGCUAUGGCCUUGAUAAGGAUCGAGAGUCACUCUGUCGCUAUGGCCGGAGCUUGACUAAUACACCAGGGUUCAAGUCUAGAAUUGUAGUCCUAAAUUGUAGUCCCUAUGCUAGUACAAGUUACAACCUUCGGGGGGAGUAUCACAAACUCUCCUAACACUUCUGUCGCUUCGGCCAGAAGUCAUCACACUUCAGGGGGGAGUAUCACAAACUCUCCCGGCACUUCUGUCGCUUUGGCCAGAAGUCGUCAAAUUCAAGGGAAGAGUAUCACAAACUCUCCCAAUACUUCUGUCGCUUCGGCCAGAAGUCAUUAUGCUUUGGGAGGGAGUAUCACAAGCUCUCCCCAUCUUUAAAGGUUCCGAGUUUCAAGGCAACCUUGGAGUGUCGAGUAUUUGUGAUUGGUCGUUUACCGACAAUCACAUAAAUCGAAAAACACUCAUCACAAAAGUUGUGUAGCACCAAAGCACAACCUUCGGGGGGAGUAUCACAAGCUCUCCUGGCGCUUCUGUCGCUUCGGCCAGAAGUCGUCGAAACUCAGGGGGGAGUAUCACAAGCUCUCCCGGCACUUCUGUCGCUUCGGCCAGAGGUCGUCGAAACUCAGGGGGAGUAUCACAAGCUCUCCCGGCACUUCUGUCGCUUCGGCCAGAGGUCGUCGAAACUCAGGGGGGAGUAUCACAAGCUCUCCCGACACUUCUGUCUAUAGGAUGGAAGUCGCCACAUUUCAAGGGAGAGUAUCACAAGUUCUCCCGACACUUCUGUCCAUGGGAUGGAAGUCGUCACAUUUCGAGGGAGAGUAUCACAAGUUCUCCCGACACUUCUGUCCAUGGGAUGGAAGUCGUCACAUUUCGAGGGGGAGUAUCACAAGCUCUCCGACACUUCUGUCCAUGGGAUGGAAGUCGUCCCAUUUCGAGGGGGAGUAUNN